UUUAUUAGCAGGACAUGUCUGAUCAUCUUCAUACUUCAGUCCAACGUUCAUUGAGCACUGCAGAGUGCAUAAAAUAACCUCUAAAUUUGACAUUUUUUGUAUACUGCCCCCUAACGACCAUUUAGGAAUUACACUUUAUUUGGUGUUAUCUUUGAUGUCAUAGAUAGGACUUAUUGACUAUAGCGAAUCAUAAGCUACCUUAUAUUGCAUAUUCACGAGCUGUGAACUCAUCUGCCCCUCCCACACUCCACUCACUCUGAACAGAGAUGGUGCACGCACACAAAUGCUCAGUGUUUGGAUGCAAGUGGGGGAAAGGUCACUCUCUACAUUUUAUUUUUAAAAAAAGAGACCAAAUCAAAAUGGCUCAGAUUUCUUUCUGGGGUUGAAGUGACACCCAGUUCCAGAGUUUGUCGCAGGCAUUUUACUGUGGACUCAUUUGAAAACGGCUCAGUGCAGCUCCGGAUUUGACAGUAAACCCAAACUGAAGGCAACAGCUUUCCUGACACUUCCUAGAGGCAACAUGGAUGAUAAGGUGAUUCCGCUGUUGACCGAGACCCCUAACAGCCUUUCACCUCUUCAGGUUCCGACAAUUAAAGUCGAGUUGAUGUGAUCCUACUUCCUGCGCCACACUGACUAAGUGGGGGGCUACGUUUGACACUGAGGCUGUCAAUCAAUCUGUGGUGCCCACACAGCAGAAUGCUCGUGUGAAAUGGACACCCUACGGAGUGUCUAUCUAGCACAUCCCUUCUACUCAUGGCCCUCCUCAUCUCCUGUUGCAAAUGUAAACUGAAGGAGAAAAGAGGCAUCCCCACUGUGCAAAUCGAUACGAAAUAAACAGCGAGGGGGGGGGGAUCAAGUCGAGAGGUUGAUGCCUCAAGGCCGUUUGUGAAGCCUGCCGCCAUCGGACUCGAGCUGCCUGAUAAAUCCCGCAGCUCAGCGCAUGAGAGCUCCUUCAGUUCCUCUCAACUCUCCGGAUGCCUCACGAAUGCAAAACAAAGUGUGGGACGUGACGGUGAAUCGUCGGUGCUCCACAGAUUACGAAUACGCAGAAGAGCGGUCCCUGUUCAUCACGCGCCUGCUCUCCAGCGUAGCUCUGCGUGUCCCGCUUGGCUAUAAACAAAUCAAGCCACGGCUCAGACUGUCAGCCCGCUGCACGCUGGAGGCAAAGUGCGCUUCAGAAAGGCCUGCUGGGACUACUUCCAGCUACGCUGAGGAUCUGGGCGGCACGCGCGCCACACAGCUCGAUAUAACUCAUCUCAUCUCCAUUAAAUGCCAAUUAGCAGGUCUGAUUUCUUUUCGCUUAAGUAAACGGGGAUCUUAAGCCACAGAAGGAAGUUUCCUGAGGACAGCGAGGCAUUGGCAGGGCUGCGGUGAAAGGCUUUAGAGGAAAGAAGGAUGCUGGAACAAGACCCCAGGAGGGCUGCAGGCUAUCCCAACAAACUGGGUCAGGUUACUACCACUCACAGUGCCUUCCAAGAUCUGGUUUGUGAAUGUGCUCGACUUUUAGACUCGUGAGUUUUUUCAUGCAUUUUUAUCAUUAUGAUCUUUUUUUUGCCCCCUCGUUCUUACCGAGCCUGCUUGCUCCUCAGAUCCCGCACUGACACUGAACACCCUACGCCCCAUCACAUAGUAAAUCAUCAUUCAUUCAUGUUUCCGUGUUUAUUGAGUUGUUGAGACAAUGCAAAUGUACAAGGCAGCGUUCAAGUGAAUAGUUCAAGUGCAACCAAUGUCCACGACUUCAGUUGAAAAUCUAAUGGAUUUUAACUUCCCAGUGUGUCUGGAGUCCAGUGUUAUUUGAGGAUAUUUCUGAACACACAGUACGAUGUUGAUUUUAUCCCCCUAUUUCACUAACUGACCGGGGACGUGAUUAAAUGUUAAUGGGUUUUUCUUUCUUUUCUGGUGCCUGGUUCUGGUCAGCAUAACAGGAAGCUCACAGAAAUCUGGAUGCUGGGAAAGAUUAAAGUGCAGUGUAAUCUUUAAUUGCUUUGUUGGGUGCUGCUCUCAGCAACGUUCCUGGCAUCUCAUUCCAUCCGUGUCUUCCUGAUCCGUACGCCAUUUGUCAUAUCGUCCUGCCAAGGCCCUGGAUCGUGUGCCAGCCAUUAGCAUUCUGACCUCUGCAGGUCAUAAGACGAAAAUACAUCAGAAGGCCACGGCCAUCCCAGAUCGAUGGCACCCCGGGAUCGUGCCAAAGGGCAGGGAGGAGGCAGCUAGCACUGCAAAACCGCUAUGGCAUCCGCUGCAUAAAUAUCCAUGUCAGGAUAAUAGCACUGGCCUGAUAUACUGCUGCAGAACUAGCCUGCCUUGCAGAACGUGCCAGGAAGCAAUUCUGUACCGUAUUUUCCACAAACUUGGGUGAGGGAUUUUUACUCUCUUUUUUUCUCCCACUGCUCCUUUUAUUAGUCACAAGCCAACAGUGACAUCACGAAAUUCCUCCAAAGUCACCCGGAGUGCCACUGUGAACACAGGCACACGCAGUUUUCCCUGAUGGAGACUGACGGUCCCGGUGUGGUCAUGUUUUGCUUGGUGGUGACUGAACAUCCUUUGCAAACGCAGACCGGGGUUAGACAGGAAGGUAUAAGAGAAUGUAUCAUAAACAAAACUUCACGGAGUAGCGAUUUGUUUUUAGCUGUCUAACUAAUCAGUGUUUUCAGGCCCAAGUAAACCAACUCCAUUUUGUUGUCUGAAAGUGAAGCAAUUUCAGCAUUAGAUGUUUUAUAAUUAAUGUGAUGUUUAUUAACAAAUGUGCAAGAGAGAAGUGUGAGUGGGGUAAAUUUUAAUCCUAAUAAUUUUCUCAGACUUUCAGGCAAUGUAUGACAAGGCCUACAGAUCUAAUUUAUUCAUAAUUUAUACGACGGUUAAAACAUAAACAAUCAUGUGACAGUUAUGUGACAAAUCUCUGUUGAAAUUCUAUUGGGUUUUUUUUUUUCUUAUUUUAGAUGGCAAAAAGUUAUAGUUAAAGUUAUAGUUUCAUUUUUCAACACAUCAGAAAACAAAGUACUGACGUGUUUACUUCGGGACGUGACUGUUGUGUGUUGCAGCUCACAAACUGUGCCAGUCUGUCCCAGAGGAGAUUUUCAACAAACCCAGGCCUUAUCAGAUGUCUGAGAGAAGGCCUUUUCAACCAUCAAACAUGUCUGCUCUAAUGAGGUGUUUUGCAAAGAGUUAAUCAUAUCCCAGGUUCUCUACAAUACUCCUUCAUGACAACCAGAAAAAGGGGAAAGGCAGAAAUAACUAGACAUGAAUUCUCAUAAAUGAACUGCUUCUCAAGUUACCCAAAAGCAUGCAUCUGAAAUCAGAAUGCACUGAGAAUAAAAUGACUAUAGAGUAAGUUAAACAUCUUGCACCCUGCAGUGUAAUGGUCUAACAGGAUGGGCAGUGGUAGCUCAGUGGUGAAGGUGCUUGAUAAGUAAUCAGAAGGUUGCUAGU